rnacentral:lncRNA from 1 species
AUGACAGACCCUGCAGUUGUGGAAUUACCUGAGAAGAGAAAAAGGAAAAAUAAGCUCUGUGAUGAAAGUGACAUCAAUUCAGAGACAUCUUCCUGUGAAGAUGAUAUGAACUUGAAGCAGUCAGGAAAUGAAGUGAAGCAAUCUGGUCUGAAGUCAAGAAAUGUCCCACUGCCCAAACCUCCUAUAUACCAUGAUACUCUUCAGAGAAGUGGGAAAAAAGAUGAGGAUGAUCCCAAGCCCACAAGCUCUGAUGUCUCAGAACAUCACAUGACUUAUAAAGAAAUUACAGUGCAAACCAGGAUACCAGAUGAUGUGCAUUUAAAGAAGUCAAGAAAUGCAAUGAAGCGAGUUGGUCUGAAGACAAAGAAUGUUCAGCUGGCCAAAACUCCCAGAUACCAUGUCAAGAGUCCACUUAUUCAGAAAGCUCUGUGUGUCAAAACAUCUGGUGACUGUCUGGAUGAUAACAAUGAAAGCCCUGAUGACAGUUAUUUAAACUCAAGCCAGCCCAACCCAGUAUUCUUAGAUACUCUUCAGGGAAAUGUGGCAAUGCAUGAGGAUGAUCAUCCCAAAAGCUCUGCUUCUUCAGGGAAGGAACCAAAGGAAACAAAAUGCAAAGUCACCAUGGAGAAAUUGUUUGGUAUGUGAUAUAUCAAUUAGACAUUAUUUAUUUAUACAGACAUAAAACAUCCUUUGCUAUAUAACAAUCUAACUUUACAAUUUUUCAGAUCUGAAUACUAAGAUACUCCAACAAAAUUCAAAUGCUGGAACAGAGACAAGCUGUCAUCAUGAAUGACUUGGCAAAAGUUAAGUCUGUUCUCAUGAAGCGGGCAGAAGAAGAUGCCCAUGAGGAACUUUUUAAACAACAACAAUGCUCCAGCUUUGAAACGUUUGAAGCCUUCUGUCAGAGGCUUGAAGAAGACAAAAAUUAUCGAGAGCUUUAUGUUAGUACUACUAUAUAAAUUUAGUCGUUUAUUUUUACAACAAAGCCACUAGUUUUUAUUUUUUUAUUUUUUGCAGCAGAUACCAUAGUAAAAGAAAUGUUAGAAGCCUGGUAUUAUUUAAUCAUGACAUAUUAUGUAUUGUUUUUGUUAGGUACACUAUCCCAUCCAUACUCACGGCAGGGUGUUGCCACCUGUGCUCCUGACAUGUUUGAAAAGUAAGUGUUUAAGUUUUGGUUUGUGCAUCUGGAUGCUGCUAUAGAAAUUGUAAUGUUAACACCUUGCUCUUUGUGUUUUUAGAAUGUGUCAGGUCUUUUCACAAACAAAAUGAAAUAGAGGUGAAGAAGCUAAAAGUAACCACCAGAACAACACCAGAAGCGGAAUGUAUUCGCCAAGUAGAAAUUUUUUUGUCCAACGCCAACACCAGGCUGAAAAGGAAACCAAAUAAAGGAAAAAGCUGACUUUUUGUUUGAUUGUUUUUAUUGAUGGAAAUAAAGAAUGUGGGUGUAAAAGUUUGAGUAAACUGAAUAUUUUUAGAUAACAGUGAACUAACACAAUUAUUGCAUAGUGGUGUUAUAUGGUGAUCUCACAGUAUGAGCACACAGUGAGUGCGCAGUGACCUCACAGUGAUCACAGUAUGAGCACACAGUGAUCACAGUAUGAGCACACAGUGACCACAGUAUGAGCACACAGUGAGUGCGCAGUGACCUCACAGUGAUCACAGUAUGAGCACACAGUGACCACAGUAUGAGCACACAGUGAUCACAGUAUGAGCACACAGUGAGUGCGCGGUGACAGUCACAGUGAUCACAGUAUGAGCACACAGUGAUCACAGUAUGAGCACACAGUGAGUGUGAUGUGACCUCAUAUUUCCACCACAGUAUGAGUGCACUGUGAUUGUGCAGUGACCUCAUGUUGUGAACAAAGUAUGAGCACACAGUGAGAGCUCUGUGUGGUUACACUUUUAGUUCACUGUGACACUCACAUUAUGACCGCACUAUGAGAAUAUUGUGAGCUCAUAGUGACAUCAGUGUGAGAUCAAAUUGUUGACUGGGUAAGUUAUUUGUAGGGCUAUACAUCUGUACAGUAAGAUUUCAUUAAUGUUAGCUAAUGUAACUAACAUGAACGUACAAUGAACAAUACAUUUAUUACAGCAUUUAUUCAUAUUUGUUAAU